rnacentral:rRNA from 1 species
AGAGUUUGAUCCUGGCUCAAGAUGAACGCUGGCGGCAUGCCUAAUACAUGCAAGUCGAACGAGAGGAAGGAAAGCUUGCUUUUCUGAAUCUAGUGGCGAACGGGUGAGUAACACGUAGGUAACCUGCCCAUGUGUCCGGGAUAACUUCUGGAAACGGAUGCUAAAACCGGAUAGGUAGCAGACAAGCAUUUGACUGCUAUUAAAGUGGCUUUGGCCAUGAACAUGGAUGGACCUGCGGUGCAUUAGCUGGUUGGUGAGGUAACGGCCCACCAAGGCGACGAUGCAUAGCCGGCCUGAGAGGGCGGACGGCCACAUUGGGACUGAGACACGGCCCAAACUCCUACGGGAGGCAGCAGUAGGGAAUUUUCGUCAAUGGGGGGAACCCUGAACGAGCAAUGCCGCGUGAGUGAGGAAGGUCUUCGGAUCGUAAAGCUCUGUUGUAAGAGAAAAACGGCACUCAUUAGGGAAUGAUGAGUGAGUGAUGGUAUCUUACCAGAAAGUCACGGUUUAACUACGUGCCACCAGCCGCGGUUUUUCGUUGGUGGCGCGCGUUCUCCGGUUUGUUUGGGCGUCAUGGGUGCGUUGGUGGCCGCUCGGCUCUGGUGUUUUGGGUGUGGGCUCGCCCCGUUCUGGCUCUGGCUUCUGCUCUGCUUGUGCCCUGCUGCGGCCGGCGGUUCUCCCUGUGUNGCGGUNUUNUGCGUNGUUCUCUGGAACUUCUCCUCUUCUUUUUUCUUCCCUCUUCUCUUUUUUCUUUCUCUUUUUCNCUNNNUCNUNNNCCCCUAAAAGGNUUNNNUNNNNUNNUNNUNCANNCNNUNNCCCCCCAUGGAAGGUGUUGGGGGAAUAACUCAGUGCCGCAGUUAACGCAGUAAGUUCUCCGCCAGGGGAGUACGCACGCAAGUGUGAAACUCAAAGGAAUUGACGGGGGCCCGCACAAGCGGUGGAGAUAUGUGGUUUAAUUCGAAGCAACGCGAAGAACCUUACCAGGCCUUGACAUCCCUUGCAGAGGUAUAGAGAUAUAUCCGAGGUUAUCAAGGAGACAGGUGGUGCAUGGUUGUCGUCAGCUCGUGUCGUGAGAUGUUGGGUUAAGUCCCGCAACGAGCGCAACCCUUGUGAUAUGUUACUAACAUUGAGUUGAGGACUCAUAUCAGACUGCCGGUGAUAAACCGGAGGAAGGUGGGGAUGACGUCAAAUCAUCAUGCCCCUUAUGGCCUGGGCUACACACGUACUACAAUGGCGUCUACAAAGAGCGGCAAGCCUGUGAAGGCAAGCGAAUCUCAUAAAGGACGUCUCAGUUCGGAUUGAAGUCUGCAACCCGACUUCAUGAAGCUGGAAUCGCUAGUAAUCGCGAAUCAGCAUGUCGCGGUGAAUACGUUCUCGGGCCUUGCACUCACCGCCCGUCAA